rnacentral:rRNA from 1 species
UACGGGGGGGGUAAGCGUUGUUCGGAAUUACUGGGCGUAAAGGGCUCGUAGGCGGCCAACUAAGUCGGACGUGAAAUCCCUCAGCUUAACUGGGGAACUGCGUCCGAUACUGGAUGGCUUGGAUUUGGGAGAGGGAUGCGGAAUUCCAGGUGUAGCGGUGAAAUGCGUAGAUAUCUGGAGGAACACCGGUGGCGAAGGCGGCAUCCUGGACCAAUAUUGACGCUGAGGCGCGAAAGCGUGGGGAGCAAACAGG